AACCCAUGUUGAGGACAUUUCGGCAGGAGCUUCUUGAACCUAUCCCAUGUCUCAAAUAGAGACUCAAAUUCUAUUUGUACAAUGGAGGAUAUCUCAUUCUUGAGCUU